rnacentral:rRNA from 1 species
CCUACGGGAGGCAGCAGUGGGGAAUCUUGCGCAAUGCGCGAAAGCGUGACGCAGCAACACCGCGUGGGGGAAGACGGCCCUCGGGUUGUAAACCUCUUUCAGGAGGGACGAAGGUCGGCCGGUUAACAGCCGUGCCGGCUGACGGUACCUCCAGAAGAAGCUCCGGCUAACUACGUGCCAGCAGCCGCGGUAAUACGUAGGGAGCGAGCGUUGUCCGGAAUCAUUGGGCGUAAAGCGCGCGUAGGCGGCCCGAUAAGUCCGCUGUGAAAGUCAACGGCUCAACUGUUGAAAGCCGGUGGAUACUGUCGGGCUAGAGUACGGAAGAGGCAAGUGGAAUUCCUGGUGUAGCGGUGGAAUGCGCAGAUAUCAGGAGGAACACCUAUAGCGAAGGCAGCUUGCUGGGACGUUACUGACGCUAAGGCGCGAAAGCGUGGGGAGCG